ensembl:lncRNA
GAUAAUGUAGGAAACUGCAGAUAAAUGUGCAUAAUCAAUUGUAUGAAUGUACAAAAGCAAUCGCAACUUGUUCAAAAGAAUGAGAAACUGGUUUUAUGAUGUGUAUAAAUGACUAGAUGAUGUGUAUCUGUCUAUCUAUGUAUGUGUCUGUCUAUCUAUCUAUCUAUCUAUCUAUCUAUCUGUCUGUCUGUCUGUCUCUAUCUAUCUAUCUAUCUCUCUGUCUCUCUGUCUGUCUGUAUCUAUCUCUCUGUCUGUCUGUCUGUCUGUAUUUAUCUAUCUAUCUAUCUAUCUUACUAUCUAUCUAUCUCUCUGUCUCUCUGUCUGUCUGUCUGUCUCUCUGUAUCUGUCUGUCUGUCUGUCUGACUGUCUGUAUCUGUCUGUCUGUAUGUCUGUCUGUCUCUAACUAUCUAUCUAUCUAUCUAUCACUCUGUCUGUCUGUCUGUCUGUAUCAGUCUGUCUGUCUGUAUCUAUCUCUCUAUCUAUCUAUCUUUCUUUCUCUCUGUCUGUCUGUCUUUCUAUCUAUCUAUCUAUGUCUCUCUGUCUAUCUAUCUAUCUGUCUAUCCGUCUGUGUGUCUGUCUGUUUCUGUCUGUCUGUCUGUCUCUCUGUAUCUGUCUGUCUGUCUGUCUUUCUAUCUAUCUAUCUUUCUAUUUAUCUAUCUUUCUAUCUAUCUAUCUCUCUGUCUGUCUUUCUGUCUGUAUCUAUCUGUCUAUCUAUCUAUCUGUCUAUCCGUCUGUGUGUCUGUCUGUUUCUGUCUGUCUGUCUGUCUGUAUCUGUUUGUCUGUCUGUCUGUGUCUAUCUAUCUAUCUAUCUCUCUAUCUAUCUAUCUUUCUUUCUGUCUGUCUGUCUGUCUUUCUAUCUAUCUGUCUGUCUGUCUAUCUAUCUAUCUAUUUAUCGAUCGGUCUAUCCGUCUGUGUGUCUGUCUGUUUCUGUCUGUCUGUCUGUCUGUCUCUCUGUAUCUAUCUAUCUAUCUUUCUGUCUAUCCUUUUUUGUGUCUGUCUGUAUAUGUCUGUCUGUCUGUAUCUAUCUAUCUACCUAUCUAUCUAUCUAUCUAUCUUUCUUUCUGUCUGUCUGUCUGUCUCUCUGUAUCUAUCUAUCUAUCUGUCUAUCCGUCUGUGUGUCUGUCUGUUUCUGUCUGUCUGUCUGUCUUUCUGUCUUUAUCUAUCUAUCUGUCUGUCUGUUUGUCUGUCUGUCUGUGUCUAUCUAUCUAUCUAUCUUUCUGUCUGUCUGUCUGUCUUUCUGUCUUUAUCUAUCUAUCUGUCUGUCUGUCUGUCUGUCCGUCUGUCUGUAUCUGUCUGUCUGUAUGUCUGUCUGUCUCUAUCUAUCUAUCUAUCUUUCUAUCUGUCUGUCUGUCUGUCUGUCUCUGUCUGUCUGUCUGUAUGUCUAUCUAUCUAUCUAUCUAUUUAUCUAUCUAUCUUUCUGUCUGUCUUUCUGUCUGUAUCUAUCUGUCUAUCUAUCUAUCUGUCUGUCUGUCUCUAUCUAUCUAUCUAUCUAUUUAUCGAUCGGUCUAUCCGUCUGUGUGUCUGUCUGUUUCUGUCUGUCUGUCUGUCUCUCUGUAUCUGUCUGUCUGUCUGUCUCUCUGUAUCUAUCUAUCUAUCUGUCUCUCUGUCUGUCUGUCUGUAUGUCUAUCUAUCUAUCUAUCUAUUUAUCUAUCUAUCUUUCUGUCUGUCUGUCUGUCUGUUUGUCUGUAUCUGUCUGUCUGUCUGUCUUUCUGUCUUUAUCUAUCUAUCUGUCUGUCUGUUUGUCUGUAUCUAUCUAUCUAUCUUUCUGCCUGUCUGUCUGUCUGUCUGUCUGUAUUUAUCUAUCUAUCUAUCUAUCUUACUAUCUAUCUAUCUCUCUGUCUUUCUGUCUCUCUGUCUAUCUAUCUAUCUAUUUAUCUAUCUAUCUUUCUGUCUGUCUGUCUGUCUUUAUCUAUCUGUCUGUCUGUCUCUAUCUAUCUAUCUAUCUAUUUAUCUAUCUAUCUUUCUGUCUGUCUUUCUGUCUGUAUCUAUCUGUCUGUCUGUUUGUCUGUAUCUGUCUGUCUGUCUGUCUCUGUCUGUCUGUCUGUCUCUCUGUAUCUAUCUAUCUAUCUGUCUCUCUGUCUGUCUGUAUCUAUCUAUCUAUCUUUCUUUCUGUCUGUCUGUCUGUCUCUCUGUAUCUAUCUAUCUAUCUUUCUUUCUGUCUGUCUGUCUGUCUCUGUCUGUCUGUCUGUCUCUGUCUGUCUGUCUGUAUGUCUAUCUAUCUAUCUAUCUUUCUAUCUGUCUGUCUGUCUGUCUGUCCGUCUGUCUGUAUCUGUCUGUCUGUAUGUCUGUCUGUCUCUAUCUAUCUAUCUAUCUUUCUGUCUGUCUUUCUGUCUGUAUCUAUCUGUCUAUCUAUCUAUCUAUUUAUCGAUCGGUCUAUCCGUCUGUGUGUCUGUCUGUUUCUGUCUGUCUGUCUGUCUGUAUUUAUCUAUCUAUCUAUCUAUCUUACUAUCUAUCUAUCUCUCUGUCUUUCUGUCUCUCUGUCUAUCUAUCUAUCUAUUUAUCUAUCUAUCUUUCUGUCUGUCUUUCUGUCUGUCUGUCUGUCUCUCUGUAUCUGUCUGUCUGUCUGUCUGUAUCUCUCUAUCUAUCUAUCUAUCUUUCUAUCUAUCUAUCUUACUAUCUAUCUAUCUAUCUGUCUCUCUGUCUGUCUGUAUCUAUCUGUCUGUCUGUCUUUCUGUCUGUAUCUAUCUGUCUGUCUGUUUGUCUGUAUCUGUCUGUCUGUAUGUCUGUCUGUCUCUAACUAUCUAUCUAUCUAUCUAUCAUCUAUCUAUCUAUCUUUCUAUCUGUCUGUCUGUCUGUCUUUCUAUCUAUCUGUCUGUCUGUUUGUCUGUCUGUCUGUCUGUCUCUCUGUAUCUAUCUAUCUAUCUUUCUGCCUGUCUGUCUGUCUGUCUGUCCGUCUGUCUGUAUCUGUCUGUCUGUCUGUCUUUCUAUCUAUCUAUCUUUCUAUUUAUCUAUCUUUCUAUCUAUCUCUCUAUCUAUCUUUCUAUCUAUCUAUCUUACUAUCUAUCUAUCUAUCUGUCUCUCUGUCUGUCUGUAUCUAUCUAUCUGUCUGUCUGUCUGUCUGUCUGUCUGUAAUUUUGGACCAGCUGGAGUUUAUUAAGUGCACAGACGAACCACCCAAAUACACAUUACAAUAAUCUAGUGUUGAAGUCAUGAACGCAUGAAUUAACACAUUUCACAUUGAGAGCAUAGGUCGCUAUUACAGUUUUUCUCAGUCGCUUUGGUGCAUUUCUUAAAUCAGAAAUGAAAUUCUCAAAACUACUUGUACAACCUCCACAUCAUCUAGUCAUUUAUACACAUCAUAAAACCAGUUACUCAUUUUUCUGAACAAGUUGCGAUUGCUUUUGUACAUUCAUGCAAUUGAUUAUGCACAUUUAUCUGCGGUUUCCUACAUUAUCAGUUGCUAAUGUUAUGUUGCUCAAAAUGUAUUAUAUAGUUUCCUGUGCAAUAGUCUUUCCUCUCAAAACAUCUAGUCUUUA